GAUGAACGCUGGCGGCGUGCCUAAUACGUGCAAGUCGAGCGAACGGACGAGAAGCCUGCUUCUCUGAUGUUAGCGGCGGACGGGUGAGUAACACGUGGAUAACCUACCUAUAAGACUGGGAUAACUUCGGGAAACCGGAGCUAAUACCGGAUAAUAUUUUGAACCGCAUGGUUCAAAAGUGAAAGACGGUCUUGCUGUCACUUAUAGAUGGAUCCGCGCUGCAUUAGCUAGUUGGUAAGGUAACGGCUUACCAAGGCAACGAUGCAUAGCCGACCUGAGAGGGUGAUCGGCCACACUGGAACUGAGACACGGUCCAGACUCCUACGGGAGGCAGCAGUAGGGAAUCUUCCGCAAUGGGCGAAAGCCUGACGGAGCAACGCCGCGUGAGUGAUGAAGGUCUUCGGAUCGUAAAACUCUGUUAUUAGGGAAGAACAUAUGUGUAAGUAACUGUGCACAUCUUGACGGUACCUAAUCAGAAAGCCACGGCUAACUACGUG
rnacentral:rRNA from 1 species